ensembl:snoRNA
UCUGGCGAUGAUGACUCACUUGCCCUCACUGAGAUCCUCUGCAGGGAUUUUGUUGAGAGCUUCUUCUGGACUCAUUGUGAGCUGA